GUCCCUAGAAGAACAGCGUGGGAAAAAAUUUACCAGUAUAGUAACAAAAUGCCUUGAAAAGGGAGGCAAUAAGAGUAUCAGUAAUCCUCAGGAACUAGAUUCAGAAGUAGAGAAGUUGGAAAAAAUCUUAACCACAACUUUCAAUAAGUCCACUUCGCUAAGAAAGUCUCUUCCUUGGUGGAACAGUGAACUCAAGAAUUUGAGAACACACACAUCCAUUUAAAGAUAUUAUGAAAAGAUACAAAAAAGCAAUCAGGAAAGCUAAAAACGACUCAUGGCGAUCUUUCUGCACAUCAAUAGAAAUUCGCAGAGAGCUUGGCUGAGCAAAAUGCUAUCCAAAGAUCAUAUUAAUACUGCCUACAUUAGGACGGAGGGAAAUGAUUGGACCUCCUCGGCAAAAGAGUCUCUGGAGGUACUAAUUAUUUACAACGCACUUCCCCGGGAGUAAGCAAACACCUUCAACGAGGGUUCAACCAGAACCACCGUUAAACACAGCUGAUUAUAUUGCCAAAUAGUAGACAAAAGCAAAAUCAAACAUGCCAUAAAUAAUUUUGCACCAUUUAAAUCGGCAGGUCCUGACGGGAUAUGCCCAUAAUGCUGCAAAAACUGGUAGAACCAAUAGUUCAAAGGCUUGAAAAUAUAUACAAAGCUAGCAUUCAACUAUCUUACAUCCCAAGAAGUUGAAAAAGAAGUAAAGUUGUGUUCUUUCCAAAACUAGGCAGAAGAACACACGAGAAUGCCAAAGAUUUUAGACCUAUAAGCCUUAUCUCCUUUAUGCUGAAGGUACUAGAAAGGCCAAUAGAUUUACAUGUAAGAACAAUAAUGACUCAUAAUUUAUCGAAGUCCCAACAAAAAAAAGGGCCGAUCAACCAAAACUUCCCUACACGAGGUGAUAAGUGUAAUUGAAAAAUCACUACACACAAACAAUACACCAUGGCUGUUUUUCUAGACAUAGAGGGCGCCUUCAAUAACAUAGAAGUAUAUGCUAUAAUUAAUUUUCUGACACAUGGUGGCAUAGAUGACACUGUGUGCAGAUGGAUACUAUCUAUGCUUGAGAAUAGAAGGAUUAUAGCUUCAAACGGCGCUGCAACACAAACAAGUUAUGUGAGUAGAGGGACGCCUCAAGAGGGGUCCUCUCUCCGCUUCUAUGGGUUGUAGCCCUGAACAGAAUACUACACCAACUAAACGGUGGAGGAGUGAAAGCAGUAGCAUAUGCAGCCGAUAUAGUGUUGUUGGUAUCAGGCAUGUUUCCUUCAACAGUCAGCGAGUUUAUGGAAAGAGCACUUCGAAACCUAAGACUAAGAACAAUGAAUUAGAAGUUAACCCGAACAAAACGGAACUGAUGCUAUUCACAAGCAGAACCAUAAUCCCUCAGUUUCAACUUCCGGUACUAAACGGUACAACACUCACUCUGUCCCACACAGCUAAAUACUUGGGGGUGGAGAUUGACACCAAACUGUCCUGGAAAAUAAAUAUAGAAAAAAGAAUAAAUAAAGCAUACAUGGCCUACUAUACUUGUAAAAAAAUCGUCAACAAGAAUUGGGGCCUCAAACCAAGUGUAAUCAUGAGGAUGUAUACGGCUGUCAUAAGACCUAUACUUACGUAUGGAGUUCUGGUAUGGUGGCCAGCGCUAAACAAACGAUACAACAUUAAAAAAUUAAAUGGAAUACAAAGAGCAGCAUGUUCAGGUCAUGUCCGACUGAUGCGCUCAAUGUGGUAAUGAACUACCCACGGACACUUUUAUUUACAAAACAGCAGCUUUUGCGGCGAUAAGAAUAAAAGAAUUGGGUGGUUGGAAUCAGCAAAACUACGGACAUAAUGUAAUCCUAAACAAGCUACCCAUUAAUAAAUCAAACUACAUUCUCCCAAAGCUGGAUUUCAAUAGAAACUUCCAGGUGAGGAUACCAUCUAGACGAGAAUGGAGAAGAGGUUAAAUAAGAGAGGAGGAUACCAUCUCAGUCUAUACCGACGGGUCCAAAAUGGACUGCGGAAUAGGCACGGGGGUAUUCUCCGCUGAUCUAGGCAUAUCUUCCUCUAUACGUCCACGGACUCAGCUAGUAUCUCCCAAGCAGAAGUACUAGGCAAAGAAAAAGCCUGCGAAGUUCUAUUAGAAAACCACGAGAAGAUACAUAAAGCAACUGUAUUAACAGAUAGCCAGGCGGCGCUCCUGGCCUUAUCCUCACCCAUGACAAAUUCCAGCAUAGUUCACAACUGCAAGAAAGCACUAAGCUCAAUAAAAGACAAGCUCCAACUAGACUUGAUCUGGGUUCCCGGCCACAGGAACAUUUUCGGUAACGAAAAUGCAGACGAGUUGGCAAAGGCAGGAGCUCUCCACAACGAAUCCGAGGCGAAGCUAAUACCAAGCCAAAACUUUACAAAAUGCAUCAUAACUACCACAACAGGGCACAAGCCAUUUGGGCAAAAUGCGUCCAAAAUGGGUAUGCCCUAAAACGACAUCUGCCGAGGCUGCGGAGUAGCAGGGAACAAGGAAACAAAUUUCCACUUUCUCUGCGAAUGCCCCGCUCUAGGACAGAUCCGACACAAAACACUUGGAAUCCAUCAAGCACAAAACCUUGAAGGGAUUUCUACCAAAAGUAUAUCAGACAUAGGUAGUUUCAUCGAAACCUCAAAAUGAUUUGAGAGAGAAAGUGAAACGUAAUAGCAGAUACAGGAGGUUCUACGAAUAGUGUAUCAAAAUGGCACAUCAAGUGCUAAUUGAGCCCGAUAGAUAAUAGGGCUGCACUGCUACCUACCUACCUAGAAAUAUUACACGAAAUAUUACUUGUCAUAUUGAACGGUGUUGCAGUCAAAAAUCAGGAACUACCAAUAACUUUUGAAAGAUUAUUUACGGUGAGUUCAUACUCAUAAUGUAAUCAAGCUCUUAAAAAUUUACAAAUUAAAUAAAGAAUCAAAACAGGUUUCCUAUGUAAAUCAACUAGUUUUUAUUAUUAAUGUUUUUGGAGUCGUUUUUGCCUUCAGUGGGACAUGGAACUGAAGGAAUGCUUCUUUGCUAUUUCUUCAAAACUUGAAAGGCAAUGUCGCUUUUUCGUGUUGCUCCAGAAAAUCAAUAUCAUUUGCGAACUACACACAAAGCUAACAAAAAAUGAUUUGAAUCGGAAAAGUUAAUUUUAAUGCUAGUCAGCUAAAUGUACUGUUUGUUUGUAAAAGUUUAAAAGAAUUACGACGUUAUCAAUAGUAAUUUUGCGAAUUUAAAGUCUCGCCAAAAGGUUUUGUAAUGGUUUUAUAAUUUAAGCUGUACUACUAACAACUAUAACAAACAGCUAUAAUAAACACAUAUUUAUCAUCGUAUGAAAAGAACGUUUAAAAAAAUAUUUACGGUUUGGUUUCAUCAAAACUGUAUAAACUAAUGAGUUAUUUCUCGAAAAGAAAAAAAGCUAAUUUUGGUAACAUAAUUUAAUACUUCUACAGUUGUUGAAAACUUUUCCGUACUUUGUUUUUAUUGUUUUUGCAGCGAAGGGCUAUCCAUAUCGAUGUACCCCAUUUUUUUACAGAAGGAAAACAGAAACUUCUCUCUAUGGCAUUUAUUUUUUGAAGAUUAUCUCUUUUAAAUGUUGGUAACUACAUCUUAGAUAGUCCAUCCGUUGAAUACAAUUUUCGAUGAUUCCUUUGAGCAUUUCCACUGUUGACUGGCAAACGACACGAGUGAUGGUUUGCUUCAAGGUCUGAAACGAAGCGGGAUUGUGCGCAUAUUUGUAAACCUUAGCUUUUACAUAUCCCCACAGCAAAAAGUCUAACAGUCUGAUAUCACACGACCUUGUGAGCAAUAAAUCCAUUCAUUAAUGCGAUGUGUACAAAGUGGGGCCAUGUUGUUGAAACAAAUGUCGCCGAGAUAAAUAGCCUAAAUUUCAGGCAUCAAAUAGUAGGUUAUCGUGGCUCGUUAACGGUCAUCAUUUUUGAACAAAUAUAGACCAAUCCACCGGUCGACCCACACCAAACCAUUGCUUUUUAGAUGAAAUGGCGGCUAUUGAAACCGUCCAGGUUGUUCUUCAUCGCAAAUAUGCCAAUUUUGCUUGUUUACAUACCCAUUGAGCAAGAAAUGGUUUUUGCACAUGCUGUAUUUUCUAUGCUUUCGUUUUAAGAUUUAGACGUACAAUGCACUAAGUCGUUCCAUAGGUCAGUCCGAGUUGCUGCGAACGGCGCCAAAUCGGAUUGGUGUAGCGACUAGUAUGCCCAGUAAGCCGAUUAUUCUGACCAAAAGUUGAGUGCAGCUCACGAAUUUUCGUAAUAAAGAGGAAGUCUCUCCAAGAUGAAAUGCCAAACAAUACUAAACAUUAAUAAUAUAACAGCUUGACACGACUAACGCGUAAGAUAUCAAAAAAAUGCUAUUGAAAAAAGUACCUCCUCUUGGAUCACCCGUUAAAGACCAUUUCUGGGGAGAGGGAAAGCUCAAUAAUAACUGCCCCUUAAUGGUAGCUAUAGAAGACGAGCUGUUUGAACGGUGCGGACCAUAGGGAAAACGAUGUUGGAUGAGUGUUUUUGGUGGGACAUGCAAAGAGCCAGCAUCACACGGAAUAUAUGCGAUAGAUGUAUAUAUAGUAUGUCAGGGACAGUUCUGGAAAGGUAGUAGUUAAAUCUAAAAUAAUAAGGUAAAUAGAAACGGGCCCCAAAAAUUUUGGCGACAUCCAAAUUAAGAAAAAUGGACCAGGGAUGGUAAAGCGAUUACAUAACCUCUGUUAAUCAAAUGUCAACCUCAACUCCGCGUCUUACCCCCUGUUUGUCAGCGAACAAGGUUUUUUUAAUAGCAGGCCUGGGGGCUGCAGUCGGCAUCUCGACAACAGAAUCGGGUUGGCACGCUGAUAACCUGUUAAUUUCAAAAUCACUUUAACAAGUCUCAAUAAAGAAGGUUCGAAUUAAACAAACGCCCAUCAAGCUAACGACCUGCAUUGAAAAUAUGACAAGAUUCCGAACAUGGAAUAUAGUAGUAUAACCUAGGGUGGGUCGAUUCCGGACUUUUUUCGAUUCGGGAUUUCUAAUAGUGCGGAAAAGUUGCCUUAGUACUUCCUGAUUCCAAUGCAACUUUUUGUUUGGAGAUCGGAUUGCAUCUUCAACCCCAACUCUGGCCUUGAAAUUUCGGAAAUUCGCCUAAAAUCGUGAAAUUGUCUACCUAGCGCCUGAAAUACGCAUCUCAUGGCAAAAUGUAUAAAACAAAAGUUAUUUGUCAUGUCAUUUGCUACCGAAAUGGUAUAUGUGAUCAUGGCCGUAGGACGAACCGUUCCCGAUAUACGAGCGAAAAGGCGGCGCCCCACAGCGCAAGGUGAAAAUUGGUGCAGCUCUCAGCUAACCUGUAUUGAUCACCCAGAACCCACCGCGUGGAGGUGGCUGCUCUUCGGGUUCCUCCCAAGCCCAACCCAACCAACCAACCAUAUGUGUAUGGCUUGUUUUAAUCUGAAUCUGUGUCAAAUUUAUUGAUAAAAUCAGAUUUUGUAUUAAACUUUGGCACUUGUUGCCUAGAUUUCAGUGUAGAGCGUAUAAAACGAUCACGAGAUUGGGGGCCAAUAACUUUAGAAGAUGCCUCUGUCACCAGUUUGACGGUUCUCUCGACUGCCACGGUGUGAGAGAGGAAUUCACUAAAUUUCCAUACCUCUGCAGUGUCUCCCGACAGCCCUUUUAUGAGUUCUUCGUUAGAAACUGAACAAAGAACUGGUGAAACAGUCAAGGUAAUAGUCUUCCAGUUAAUCAUAUCGUAAUAAUUAUUAGCUUUGAAAUGCUAUUAGCUUUGGCACUUUAUUACAUCUAUCCCUUCCAUUUACAGUGUCAGACUCUGCUUCUCUGGCUGCCAGAAGACGGUCAAGGGCCAACUUUCUGACUUCUAUCCGUUCGUCAGUCAUCAUACUAAGGAGAGUGUUUUCUGGAAGACCAAAGAAAGCAUUCUGUUGAAUGGAUGAAUCGACAACCUUGCGCAGUUUAACAGGUAAGUAUCUCAACCUUUGAAUUGUAGCAUAGAGAUGGCGCGAGCCAUCUUUGAUUGAACUGUUGAAUCUUAUAGAGCACCACAAAGGUGAGUAAACUGUAAGUAUGUACUUGACCAAAAUCUUUAUUUCCUUUGUUGGUUUGUCAGUAGAAAUGUAUAAUCUCAGAAUUCUAUUUGCACAGGUGAGCCAGCGAGAUUUGCACAUGUUACCUGGAUGCAUCGACGCUAAAUCUGAGGACCAUUGACCGGAAAUAACAGCUUCUGAUAUAUUAUAGAGAUAAGCUUGGUCUGUGCUAAGUAGGGUCGGAUUAAUAACCUCAGAAGGUAAUUUGCAGGAUGGAAAACUUUCAAAUUUGACAACAGGCAACUUCUCAUAAUCAGGGAGCAGUUAACCUAAGUCGCCAGAGAAUGUAUUUGGAUUCUUUGAGACACCAUCUAUGUGUUCGAAAAGAGCACGAAAUAGAAGUUCGUUAAAAUGUAGAAGACAAACAACCCACUGUAAUGGCCUACCUAUUCUUUCUUCAAGUUUCCGAAUGAUUCCACCUUUCCAACCUGUGUUCGUGUUGGUGCCAUCAGCACCGACAACUUCUAGAUGUUCCACAUCAACUGAAUUGUCUUUUAAAUGUUGCCAUAUAGCUUGCGUCUCAUCCUCAGCUGACCCGGAAGGAGAGGUGACGUGGCCAAAGUAAUGACAACCAGGUUCCGCUAUAAGAGAAAUAUGUUCCUCUUUGACAGUAUCGCGGUAGUACUUUUCACCUUCCCUGACUUCUGUAAGUGUAUUGUCUUUGCGGCCGUCAAAAUACAGCCCAUAUACAGAGUCAAUACUUUCGGUGUUUUGGAGCUUAACUCCAACACUUUUUUGCCCGACUAAUCUUGCAUUUGUCAGUGACAUAGUUAGCCUGAUCCUCUGUUAUCAAACCUACUUUUUUUGGCAUCCAGAAAAGCAGAUGAAACAAUCAAGGCCGCUGCUCUAUCACUUACUCCAAAUCUUUGGGCAGCUAAAGCAGUGUGUUCUAAUACUAAUGUGUUUUGUUUGGUUUUAGAGGAUGGAAGAGAAAGUUCAUCAUCAGAAUCCAUGUGCGACGCACCUACAUUGUUGUCGUCUGUAUGAGAGUCUGGCUGAUCUGAAUGGUCACGAGUUCUAGCUGAUACUUUUCUGGUAGAUCAACACUUCCAAUGCGACCAAUUCUUCUGGUUCUCUGGUCCAAGAGAAAUGGUUGUUCAUUGAUAGGAACUUUCCUUUCCUUUGGACAAGUGCAAGAAGAAAAAUAAAUGCAUUUACAAGCAGCGAUGUCAAAUAAUUUUCCGGCAGAAGAGACAAAGUCGUCUCUUUUAGAGCUCAAACCUAUUGGGUUCCUCAAAAACAUUUGUUUAAGAGUCAGAAAUUUCUUAUGGUAUGUGGUGAGCAUUUGUAGAACUCUGGUGUGUGAAACUAUCGGAAUAGAUGACUUUUUGAAAGUAUUUUCAACCUUUUUUGCAACUAUUUCUGUAACCUCUUUACUCCUAGGUUCAUAGUUGUCGCCUCGAAGUCGCCCUAUACGAAAUCUUUCAAACUGAUAACACAAAAGAACAUCCUGGUAAGUAGGUAACUGGGACUCAGAGAGACUGUACGGAUAUAUGCCAAACACAGGACAUUUCUGUCUAAAUUUAAAUUUAGAUACAGACAUUUUGAGUUCUGUUUUCUGUUGAGAGAAUAUAAGUGAUAGCACUCGGCGAAAUCAACGACAAGAGUGAAGGAACUCGAUGAAAAUAUAUUUAUGUGGAGACCAGUCCGAACGUGUCGUAUGGCGCAGGGAAAUGAAUGUAAGUGAUAGAACUCGGCGAAAUCACCGACAAGAGUGAAGGAACUCGAUGAAGAAAUAUAUAUGUGGAGACCAGUCCGAACGUGUCGUAUGGAGUAGGUGAAUGAAUGUGAGUGAUAGCACUCGGCGAAAUCAACGUCAAGAAGUGUGGCCGCAAGCCGAUUUUCACCUUGCGCUGUAGCGCGCCGCAUUUUCGCUCGUAUCUCGGGAACGGUUCGUCCUACGGCCUUGAUUACGUAUAGCAUUUCGGUUGCAAAUGACGUGACAAAUAACUUUUGUUCAGGCGCUAGGUAGACAAUUUCACGAUUUUAGGCGAAUUUCCGAAAUUUCAAGGCCGGAGUUGGGGACGCGUCGUCGCAACCGUCGAAGGGCAAGAUGGCAAGGUGCGAGUCGCAGACGUAGCGACCAAGACAAGCACAAUUAUGCGUCCUAUCCGUAAACAGGCCUUUCUUCCAAAGUAGGUGGAAGGAAUCUGAUCCUGUCACGGUGGCCGGUGUUGCGUCAAGCGACAUAUUUAUACCUAAAGCAAGAAUAAUUUAAUGAAUUGUAAAAUAUUGAAUAUUAAAUUAUUAAAAAUUAAAUGAAGAAACUCUAUUAUAUAAAAUAUUUACACUAAUAAUGCAUUAAUAAUACUAAUCUAUUACUUACUUUAAUACUUAUCUUAACAACAUAAGCUUGUACAUUGUUUAACGAAAGAUAAUUACUUACCCCUUUUGUUACACAUACUUACAUUACCACUAGAUUAAGCCUUAUGUUUAAGAUUUAGGCUAAGCGAUUCCUUAAAACGGAAUAAGAAUUGAACUGAAUAUGAAUUGAACUGUGAAACCA